rnacentral:misc_RNA from 1 species
GAUGAAGAACGCAGCGAAAUGCGAUAAGUAAUGCGAAUUGCAGAAUUCAGUGAAUCAUCGAAUCUUUGAACGCACAUUGCGCCCGCUAGUAUUCUGGCGGGCAUGCCUGUCUGAGCGUCAUUUCAACCCUCAUGCCCCUAGGGCGUGGUGUUGGGGAUCGGCCAAAGCCCGCGAGGGACGGCCGGCCCCUAAAUCUAGUGGCGGACCCGUCGUGGCCUCCUCUGCGAAGUAGUGAUAUUCCGCAUCGGAGAGCGACGAGCCCCUGCCGUUAAACCCCCAACUUUCCAAGGUUGACCUCAGAUCAGGUAGGAAUACCCGCUGAACUUAAGCAUAUCAAUAAGCGGAGGA